rnacentral:rRNA from 1 species
AAUGCAGCUUUGAAAGAAGUUGCCAAAGAUUUAUCGGCGAAGGAGGGGCCCGCGUUAGAUUAGCUUGUUGGUGGGGUAACGGCCUACCAAGGCUCUGAUCUAUAGCUGGUCUGAGAGGACGAUCAGCCACACUGGGACUGAGGCACGGCCCAGACUCCUACGGGAGGCAGCAGUGGGGAAUCUUGGACAAUGGGGGCAACCCUGAUCCAGCGACGCCGCGUGGAUGAAGAAGGCCUUAGGGUUGUAAAGUCCUUUCACCGGGGAGGAUGAUGACGUUACCCGGAGAAGAAGCACCGGCUAACUCCGUGCCAGCAGCCGCGGUAAGACGGAGGGUGCUAGCGUUGUUCGGAAUCACUGGGCGUAAAGGGCGCGUAGGCGGCUUGGUCAGUCAGAUGUGAAAGCCCAGGGCUCAACUCUGGAACUGCAUUUGAUACUUCCAAGCUAGAGGUCGAAAGAGGAGAGUGGAAUACCCAGUGUAGAGGUGAAAUUCGUAGAUAUUGGGUGGAACACCAGUGGCGAAAGCGGCUCUCUGGUUCGAAUCUGACGCUGAGGCGCGAAAGCGUGGGGAGCAAACAGGAUUAGAUACCCUGGUAGUCCACGCCCUAAACGAUGUGUGCUAGACGUCGGGAGGCUUGCCUCUCGGUGUCGGAGCUAACGUGUUAAGCACACCGCCUGGGGAGUACGGUCGCAAGAUUAAAACUCAAAGGAAUUGACGGGGG